GACGAACGCUGGCGGCGUGCUUAACACAUGCAAGUCGAACGAUGAAGCCGGAGCUUGCUCUGGUGAAUUAGUGGCGAACGGGUGAGUAACACGUGAGUAACCUGCCCUUGACUCUGGGAUAACUGCUAGAAAUGGUAGCUAAUACCGGAUACGACCCUCGGAGGCAUCUCCAGGGGGGGGAAAGAAUUUCGGCCAAGGAUGGACUCGCGGCCUAUCAGCUAGUUGGUGAGGUAACGGCGCACCAAGGCGACGACGGGUAGCCGGCCUGAGAGGGUGACCGGCCACACUGGGACUGAGACACGGCCCAGACUCCUACGGGAGGCAGCAGUGGGGAAUAUUGCACAAUGGGCGCAAGCCUGAUGCAGCAACGCCGCGUGAGGGAUGACGGCCUUCGGGUUGUAAACCUCUUUUAGUAGGGAAGAAGCGAAAGUGACGGUACCUGCAGAAAAAGCACCGGCUAACUACGUGCCAGCCGCCGCCGUAA
rnacentral:rRNA from 1 species